rnacentral:ncRNA from 1 species
UCUUUUAAGAGUUUGAUCCUAGCUCAGGAUUAACGUUGGUAGUAUGCCUAACACAUGCAAGUCGAACGGCAGCACAGUAGAGGGCAACCUCUAUGGGUGGCGAGUGGCGAACGGGUGAGUAAUGCUUGUCUAACUUGCCAAUUAGUGGGGGAUAACCCUGGGAAACCAGGGCUAAUACCGCAUUUUUUGCUUCGGCAAUGAAAGGGGGUCGCAAGAUUUUCGCUAAUUGAUAGGGAUCAGUCGUAUUCGUUUGUUGGUG